rnacentral:rRNA from 1 species
AUUGAACGCUGGCGGCAUGCCUUACACAUGCAAGUCGAACGGCAGCACGGGAGCAAUCCUGGUGGCGAGUGGCGAACGGGUGAGUAAUAUAUCGGAACGUGCCCAGUCGUGGGGGAUAACGUAGCGAAAGCUACGCUAAUACCGCAUACGAUCUAUGGAUGAAAGCGGGGGAUCGCAAGACCUCGCGCGAUUGGAGCGGCCGAUAUCAGAUUAGGUAGUUGGUGAGGUAAAGGCUCACCAAGCCGACGAUCUGUAGCUGGUCUGAGAGGACGACCAGCCACACUGGGACUGAGACACGGCCCAGACUCCUACGGGAGGCAGCAGUGGGGGAAUUUUUGGACAAUGGGCGCAAGCCUGAUCCAGCAAUGCCGCGUGCAGGAUGAAGGCCU